rnacentral:tRNA from 1 species
UGAUUAGGUGGCUUAACUAAAGCGUCCGGCUUUUAACCGGAACAUGGAAGGUAAAAUCCUCCUCUAAUUAA